rnacentral:snRNA from 1 species
GGGAAACACAGUUCAUGUUCUU